GAUGAAGAACGCAGCGAAAUGCGAUAAGUAAUGUGAAUCGCAGAAUUCAGUGAAUCAUCGAAUCUUUGAACGCACAUUGCGCCCCUUGGUAUUCCGAGGGGCAUGCCUGUUCGAGCGUCAUAUUAACCACUCCCGCUUGCGGGGUCUUGGGCUUCGCCUCCGGGCGGGCCUUAAAAUCAGUGGCGGUGCCGUCGGGCUCUACGCGUAGUAAAUUUUCUCGCGAUAGGGUCCCGGUGGAUGCUUGCCAACAACCCCCAACUUCUUAAGGUUGACCUCGGAUCAGGUAGGGAUACCCGCUGAACUUAAGCAUAUCAAUAAGCGGGAGGA
rnacentral:misc_RNA from 1 species